ACUGCAAGUCGAGCGAACGGACGAGAAGCUUGCUUCUCUGAUGUUAGCGGCGGACGGGUGAGUAACACGUGGAUAACCUACCUAUAAGACUGGGAUAACUUCGGGAAACCGGAGCUAAUACCGGAUAAUAUUUUGAACCGCAUGGUUCAAAAGUGAAAGACGGUCUUGCUGUCACUUAUAGAUGGAUCCGCGCUGCAUUAGCUAGUUGGUAAGGUAACGGCUUACCAAGGCAACGAUGCAUAGCCGACCUGAGAGGGUGAUCGGCCACACUGGAACUGAGACACGGUCCAGACUCCUACGGGAGGCAGCAGUAGGGAAUCUUCCGCAAUGGGCGAAAGCCUGACGGAGCAACGCCGCGUGAGUGAUGAAGGUCUUCGGAUCGUAAAACUCUGUUAUUAGGGAAGAACAUAUGUGUAAGUAACUGUGCACAUCUUGACGGUACCUAAUCAGAAAGCCACGGCUAACU
rnacentral:rRNA from 1 species